CGUGGGAGGCCUCAGAAGAGAGUCAGGAAGCUGUCGCAGGGAGGAAGGAAGCCAUGCACUUCAGAGGCUUCGAGGCUGGAGCAAGCAAAGAGAAAAUGCACGGGGCGAAGGUGGGUGGUUGGGGAAUUGCACGCCGCCGAAAAGAAGGCCUAUUUUAGGAAGAACAGCAUAGAACCUGCAUCUUGAACUUCACUGGCGUGAGGCAGAUUAUCUCUGAAUCAGAUGGUAAUCAUAAUAAAUCCCUGAUUUACGAGCUGCCUUCCACUUUUCCAGUUUGGGGACAAUUUUUCUUUUACAGACCAUUGGCAUGAAGAUCGCCAAAUGUGUUCAUAGAGGAGGGUCGGAGAUUGAUUCCUCCACGCCCCAAGUCUGUCCAAGAGACCCUACUGCCAAAAGGUGACCCUUUUCAAAACUGUCUGCCAUGCCGGGCACUGAACUCCUUGCUGCUGGGCACAUCAAGAUGGCAGGCUCUGGGUAAAUAUGGUUGCCUCCCCCGGGGGCCUCUCCAAGGGCAAGUGGGUGGAAGGGAGUUUGAACAUGGGAUGGGAAGAACCUCCUUUCCUUUGCAAAGGUGAAUCCCUCAGUUUGUGCAGCCUACUUUAUGAAAGUUUGGGGAGACAGAUGGGACCCAUCCCACGGAAGUGACAAAGAAUGGUCCCUUGACCAUUCUGCCAGCAGUCACUCUACUCAUCCCACUCACCCCCUUUGCUGAUGCCCAGAACCCCACCCUCAACUCCAGCUCCAAAGAUAUUCCUCCCUCCUUCGUUAUGCAAAGCAAUGUGCUUAGGACUUCCUACCACCAACCUGGACCCCACAGGGUUUUUUGACUCAUAAGUGUGCUCUACCAGAUAAAGGGGCACCUUCUCCACAUCUGUCCUCUCUUCGGGUCCCUCCCCACUUUUGAGGAAGGAGGUGUCCACCUGCUCACCCACCUCCUUCUCUAAGGUGCUGUUUUCUCAGGGUAGAGUCUUGAGGUUUGGGAUUUGCAGGAGGAAAGGGCUCUUUGAAGCGAAUGAAGCCACCAGACCCUGCACUCAAUGGUUGUCCCCUUCCGUCUUCUGUAACGUGCUGAGAAUUCAGCUCAGCAGAGGCUGAGGGACAGAUGCCAACUGCAAACAGAGAACGGGGCUGAUGCCAGCAAGGCUUCAGAAUGCCUCCCAAUGACCCACCUCUUCGCCCCCACGUCUGGACAUGUCACAGACGCAACCCCACAUGGAUCCUGCUACAGAAGUGAAGAGGGGGAAAUGAAAUAAAUCGAGCAUAAUUGGACUGUGAGGGAGGAGAGUCACAGAAGUGGUGGGUUUCUGGAAUUGGCUAACGUCUCUGCCACGAACCAGAAAGGGGGCUGAAGACAGAGUUGAAUGGUGGGAUAAUUAAACUCAGCUUUAAAUUCGUACCCUUGGAUCUACAGCUUUGAAAUAGAAUUUGCCGCUCUGUAAGUUA